rnacentral:rRNA from 1 species
GGGUUGUGAGGUUAAGCGACUAAGCGUACACGGUGGAUGCCCUGGCAGUCAGAGGCGAUGAAGGACGUGCUAAUCUGCGAUAAGCGUCGGUAAGGUGAUAUGAACCGUUAUAACCGGCGAUUUCCGAAUGGGGAAACCCAGUGUGUUUCGACACACUAUCAUUAACUGAAUCCAUAGGUUAAUGAGGCGAACCGGGGGAACUGAAACAUCUAAGUACCCCGAGGAAAAGAAAUCAACCGAGAUUCCCCCAGUAGCGGCGAGCGAACGGGGAGCAGCCCAGAGCCUGAAUCAGUGUGUGUGUUAGUGGAAGCGUCUGGAAAGGCGCGCGAUACAGGGUGACAGCCCCGUACACAAAAAUGCACAUGCUGUGAGCUCGAUGAGUAGGGCGGGACACGUGGUAUCCUGUCUGAAUAUGGGGGGACCAUCCUCCAAGGCUAAAUACUCCUGACUGACCGAUAGUGAACCAGUACCGUGAGGGAAAGGCGAAAAGAACCCCGGCGAGGGGAGUGAAAAAGAACCUGAAACCGUGUACGUACAAGCAGUGGGAGCACGCUUAGGCGUGUGACUGCGUACCUUUUGUAUAAUGGGUCAGCGACUUAUAUUCUGUAGCAAGGUUAACCGAAUAGGGGAGCCGAAGGGAAACCGAGUCUUAACUGGGCGUUAAGUUGCAGGGUAUAGACCCGAAACCCGGUGAUCUAGCCAUGGGCAGGUUGAAGGUUGGGUAACACUAACUGGAGGACCGAACCGACUAAUGUUGAAAAAUUAGCGGAUGACUUGUGGCUGGGGGUGAAAGGCCAAUCAAACCGGGAGAUAGCUGGUUCUCCCCGAAAGCUAUUUAGGUAGCGCCUCGUGAAUUCAUCUCCGGGGGUAGAGCACUGUUUCGGCAAGGGGGUCAUCCCGACUUACCAACCCGAUGCAAACUGCGAAUACCGGAGAAUGUUAUCACGGGAGACACACGGCGGGUGCUAACGUCCGUCGUGAAGAGGGAAACAACCCAGACCGCCAGCUAAGGUCCCAAAGUCAUGGUUAAGUGGGAAACGAUGUGGGAAGGCCCAGACAGCCAGGAUGUUGGCUUAGAAGCAGCCAUCAUUUAAAGAAAGCGUAAUAGCUCACUGGUCGAGUCGGCCUGCGCGGAAGAUGUAACGGGGCUAAACCAUGCACCGAAGCUGCGGCAGCGACGCUUAUGCGUUGUUGGGUAGGGGAGCGUUCUGUAAGCCUGUGAAGGUGUGCUGUGAGGUAUGCUGGAGGUAUCAGAAGUGCGAAUGCUGACAUAAGUAACGAUAAAGCGGGUGAAAAGCCCGCUCGCCGGAAGACCAAGGGUUCCUGUCCAACGUUAAUCGGGGCAGGGUGAGUCGACCCCUAAGGCGAGGCCGAAAGGCGUAGUCGAUGGGAAACAGGUUAAUAUUCCUGUACUUGGUGUUACUGCGAAGGGGGGACGGAGAAGGCUAUGUUGGCCGGGCGACGGUUGUCCCGGUUUAAGCGUGUAGGCUGGUUUUCCAGGCAAAUCCGGAAAAUCAAGGCUGAGGCGUGAUGACGAGGCACUACGGUGCUGAAGCAACAAAUGCCCUGCUUCCAGGAAAAGCCUCUAAGCAUCAGGUAACAUCAAAUCGUACCCCAAACCGACACAGGUGGUCAGGUAGAGAAUACCAAGGCGCUUGAGAGAACUCGGGUGAAGGAACUAGGCAAAAUGGUGCCGUAACUUCGGGAGAAGGCACGCUGAUAUGUAGGUGAAGUCCCUCGCGGAUGGAGCUGAAAUCAGUCGAAGAUACCAGCUGGCUGCAACUGUUUAUUAAAAACACAGCACUGUGCAAACACGAAAGUGGACGUAUACGGUGUGACGCCUGCCCGGUGCCGGAAGGUUAAUUGAUGGGGUCAGCGCAAGCGAAGCUCUUGAUCGAAGCCCCGGUAAACGGCGGCCGUAACUAUAACGGUCCUAAGGUAGCGAAAUUCCUUGUCGGGUAAGUUCCGACCUGCACGAAUGGCGUAAUGAUGGCCAGGCUGUCUCCACCCGAGACUCAGUGAAAUUGAACUCGCUGUGAAGAUGCAGUGUACCCGCGGCAAGACGGAAAGACCCCGUGAACCUUUACUAUAGCUUGACACUGAACAUUGAGCCUUGAUGUGUAGGAUAGGUGGGAGGCUUUGAAGUGUGGACGCCAGUCUGCAUGGAGCCGACCUUGAAAUACCACCCUUUAAUGUUUGAUGUUCUAACGUGGACCCGUGAUCCGGGUUGCGGACAGUGUCUGGUGGGUAGUUUGACUGGGGCGGUCUCCUCCUAAAGAGUAACGGAGGAGCACGAAGGUUGGCUAAUCCUGGUCGGACAUCAGGAGGUUAGUGCAAUGGCAUAAGCCAGCUUGACUGCGAGCGUGACGGCGCGAGCAGGUGCGAAAGCAGGUCAUAGUGAUCCGGUGGUUCUGAAUGGAAGGGCCAUCGCUCAACGGAUAAAAGGUACUCCGGGGAUAACAGGCUGAUACCGCCCAAGAGUUCAUAUCGACGGCGGUGUUUGGCACCUCGAUGUCGGCUCAUCACAUCCUGGGGCUGAAGUAGGUCCCAAGGGUAUGGCUGUUCGCCAUUUAAAGUGGUACGCGAGCUGGGUUUAGAACGUCGUGAGACAGUUCGGUCCCUAUCUGCCGUGGGCGCUGGAGAACUGAGGGGGGCUGCUCCUAGUACGAGAGGACCGGAGUGGACGCAUCACUGGUGUUCGGGUUGUCAUGCCAAUGGCACUGCCCGGUAGCUAAAUGCGGAAGAGAUAAGUGCUGAAAGCAUCUAAGCACGAAACUUGCCCCGAGAUGAGUUCUCCCUGACUCCUUGAGAGUCCUGAAGGAACGUUGAAGACGACGACGUUGAUAGGCCGGGUGUGUAAGCGCAGCGAUGCGUUGAGCUAACCGGUACUAAUGAACCGUGAGGCUUAACCUUACAACGCCGAAGCUGUU